AGCGUAGACGGAUGGACAAGUCUGAUGUGAAAGGCUGGGGCUCAACCCCCGGGACUGCAUUGGAAACUGCCCGUCUUGAGUGCCGGAGAGGUAAGCGGAAUUCCUAGUGUAGCGGUGAAAUGCGUAGAUAUUAGGAGGAACACCAGUGGCGAAGGCGGCUUUCUGGACGACAACUGACGCUGAGGCGCGAAAGUGUGGGAGCAAACA
rnacentral:rRNA from 1 species